rnacentral:misc_RNA from 1 species
GGAAGGAUCAUUACCGCACGCCCUGUCGGGGAUAAAAUCCACUCAGUGUGAUUAGGGUUGAUUCAUUUCCCCUCUUCAUGCUGGAGGCACUGUGAGUUGUUCAAGUCUUUAACCAUAUAACACAACCUUUAUGGUUGGUUUUGUUGGUUAAUAUUACUUUAACUCUACAUAAAAAUCAAAUUGACUAAAUCAAGCUAGAUGGUUAAAGGCUCCUCUUUAUCGAGGAUCCCUCCAUCGAGUAUGAAUCAACCAAGACACAACUUUUAACAACGGAUAUCUUGGUUCUCGCAACGAUGACGAGCGCAGCGAAAUGCGAUACGUAGUGUGAAUUGCAGAAUUCAGUGAAUCAUCGAAGUCUUGAACGCAUAUUGCGCUGGUGGUUCCACCCACCAGCAUGCCUGUUCGAGUGUCGAUUACAUCUCAAAAAAGAGACACACACACUCGUGUGUUUUCUAUUUGGAUCUGGGUGUCGAGUCGUUCACUUGACUCUGUCACCUGAAAAUCAUUGGGAGUUGUAAAUGAUCCAUCUUUUUUGGUCCCAAAUUGGUGUGCUUAACAUACCUCGUAUGAUAAUCACCAGUAGUAAGAUCAAAAACUUUUUACAAAAGUGGAUGAGAUCUUCUCACGACUCUUUCUUAGGAAAAUAACAUCCAAAACUUCGACCUCGAAUCAGGCAAGAAUACCCGCUGAACUUAAGCAUAUUAAUAAGCGGAGGAAAAGAAACUAACUAGGAUUCCCUCAGUAACUGCGAGUGAAGUGGGAAGAGCUCAAGCUUAAAAUCUGAGGCAGUCUAUGUCUCCGAAUUGUAGUUUCGUGAACAGCUUCACGGACAGGCUGCUACGGUAUAAGUUCCCUGGAACGGGACGCCAAAGAAGGUGAGAGCCCUGUGCACGACCGUAGUGUCCCGGCCUGUCAACACGUGCUGCUGAUUCGCAGAGUCGGGUUGUUUGGGAGUACAGCCCAAAGUGGGAGGUAAAUUCCUUCUAAAGCUAAAUAAUGGCGAGAGACCGAUAGCGAACAAGUACCGUGAGGGAAAGAUGCAAAGAACUUUGAAAAGAGAGUUAAAAGUGCUUGAAAUUGUUAAAAGGGAAGCGAUUGGAGGCAGUACCUGUCUGCCGUCGACUCAUCUGUCGGCGGGGGGUCGAGGUGGUACGGUGAGUGAUCCUUCGUGGUCAUCUCCGUGCUGCCCCUGGCCUCUCGUCGGCAGAGCACUUCGGCGGUAGAUGCGUCAACAUCAGUGAGGGGAGUGGGAGAAGGACGUUGGGGAGGUGACACUGUGGUGGUCCUCGGGCCAUCAUGGUGUGUUUAACCCAGCGUAGAUACCAUUCCCCUCACUGAGGCAUCGAAAGAUGGCAACCAGCGCCUUUUUGGCGAGGUAAAGGUGGGACUGAGUGGUGGCGACGGUGAGGACAGCUUGCUGUGCUCGUCGAUCGUCGCUGCUCAUGGCCUGCCUACCGUCAGCUGGUUAGAGAUGUUGACCGAAUGCCUCCAAUCGUCCCGUCUUGAAACACGGACCAAGGAGUCUAACAUAUGUGCGAGUAAUUGGGUGACAAACCCAUAUGCGUAAUGAAAGUGAGAGGUGGGAGCCGAAAGGCGCACCAUCGACCGAUCUGGAUAUUUUUGGAUAGAUUCGAGUUGGAGCAUAUCUGUUGGGACCCGAAAGAUUGCGAACUAUGCUUGCAUAGGGUGAAGCCAGACGAAAGUCUGGUGGAGGCUCGUAGCGAUACUGACGUGCAAAUCGUUCGUCAAAUGUGAGUAUAGCGGCGAAAGACUAAUCGAGCAAUCUAGUAGCUGGUUUCCUC